ACCCUACCCCCAAUCCACAACCGCCACCCGGUCCCUCCUCCUCCUCCUCCUCCUCCCUCCCUCGUAUGCCGCCGCCACUCCCUCCCUCCUCCCUCCUCGUCGCCCCUGCCUCUACCCUAGGAGCUCCGCCACCUCCCACGCGCUCGUCCUCUCAUCUCCCAUGUCACGCCGUCGGCCCCUGCCAAGCCAUAGUGGUGCUCUACUUGCGCCCUCGCCUCUGGUAUCACCAGGCCCUCGAUGCCGGCCUCGUCGGCUUGCCGCCGCGCUCGAAGUUGUGGCCCUGGCUGCGCGUCUCGUCGCGCUCGGGAUUCACCCAUGCGCCCUCCCGCCCUGGGGAACGUGCAAAAGGGUCAAAACCCUAGCCGCCAGCAGUUCUCGUCAAGCCUCCUCCGCCUCGUCUCCUCCCUGCUCCCUCAUCUCCCACGUCGCCGCCUUCACCUCGUCUCCUCCCCGCUCCCUCCUCUCCAACGCCGCCGCCCUCGAUGCACUGUAAGGGACGCCGUCGACAGGUCGGGGAUACGCAGCGACGGAGCUCAGCCAGAGCAGAGCACAACCCCACUCCUAACCCUAUUCGCUUGAUGACAAGAGCAGGGCAACGGAUUGGAUCGAGGGCGCCCUGGCUUGGCCACCGCUGCCACCUGGAUUCGCUAGCCGCUGCGUGGAGUUGCCCUGGCCGCCGCCUUGAGUCACCUCCGUCGCCGCCUUGAGUCAACUCCACCGUUGCCGCCAGGAAUCCCAUCCCGGCAAGGAAAAUUCCUAGGGAUUUGAUUGAUGGAGGCAUCACUAUUUGGCGCUGGAUUAUCCAUUUUUGCAGCACCAGCAAUGUUGUUUUUGUUUGGAAUGGUCAAUUCUCAAUUUCUAAAUCAGCUAUACUAUACUUCUUGUCAGGUUACAUUAUCUUGCUUGGUUUCAGUCUAUAUGUAGCACAAAAAUAGAUGACAUGGUUGGUUUGUAGGUUACAUUAAGGAACACCACCAUAAGGAACGCCGCUCUCGCAUUGCACUUCUUUGUUUAUAUUUGAUCUGUUCCUAUUCGGUUUGCUGUAGUACUUAAUUGAUACACCAUUUCAAUUCUCUUGCCGUUUUCUUCUUGCUGCUUCAUUGUAUUCAGUUAUGAUAUAUUUUUCAACUGUACAAGCACUUGGGGAAGUCAGGAAAACUGAACCAAAGACAAACACUUUUACUGGAGAUGUUGGGGCUUUUUUUAACUGAGAUGUGACAGAUGCAUCUUAUUCCCUGAGAUAUAUUGCCUUUAAUUUCUUGAUUUUUUUCCCCGACAUGCUAAUAUAGAGCCAGAUAUGCAUGAUUCAUCAUACACAUUACAGUCAAUUAUCCAUUGGAAUCUUUUGUCCAUAGAGGUGAUCUUGUUUGGACCAUUAGUCUAGGUAGUGACAUUUUGAUUGAUAAGGCACAAGUUUAUUUUCUUUUUCACUCGGGCUACACUAAAGUAAGCAUCAUCAUCAGUGAAAAGAAGGCAUACAAAUCAUGAAGUUUUUGCCUUGGCUGUGUGCCUCGUUUAGUUGCCACUUAUUUAUUUCUAGGAAGUUAUUCAAUUCUCAUCGAGCUUUCCUUAUGCUUUCCAUUGCUAAAGAAGAAAUUUAAAUACGCAAUAUUUUUAAUAUCUGAGGAGGCGACAGGGGAUGAAAAAAGGUUGUAAGGUCGUACUUUGGUGCGUCUUUGGCCAACGAUGGCUGGAUCCAUCUGACGCUCUUCCAAGCAGAGCAGUGCAGAUUUGCUGACUGGUACAAACAUCUAAGCCUAUGCAUGAUUCAUCAUACACAUUACAGUCAAUUAUCCAUUGGAAUCAUUUGUCCAUAGAGGUGAUCUUGUUUGGACCAUUAGUCUAGGUAGUGACAUUUUGAUCGAUAAGGCACAAAUUUAUUUUCUUUUUCACUCGGGCUACACUAAAGUAAGCAUCAUCAUCAGUGAAAAGAAGGCAUACAAAUCAUGAAGUUUUUGCCUUGGCUGUGUGCCUCGUUUAGUUGCCACUUAUUUAUUUCUAGGAAGUUAUUCAAUUCUCAUCGAGCUUUCCUUAUGCUUUCCAUUGCUAAAGAAGAAAUUUAAAUACGCAAUAUUUUUAAUAUCUGAGGAGGCGACAGGGGAUGAAAAAAGGUUGUAAGGUCGUACUUUGGUGCGUCUCUGGCCAACGAUGGCUGGAUCCAUCUGACGCUGUUCCAAGCAGAGCAGUGCAGAUUUGCUGACUGGUACAACAUCUAAGCCUAUGCAUGAUUCAUCAUACACAUUACAGUCAAUUAUCCAUUGGAAUCAUUUGUCCAUAGAGGUGAUCUUGUUUGGACCAUUAGUCUAGGUAGUGACAUUUUGAUCGAUAAGGCACAAAUUUAUUUUCUUUUUCACUCGGGCUACACUAAAGUAAGCAUCAUCAUCAGUGAAAAGAAGGCAUACAAAUCAUGAAGUUUUUGCCUUGGCUGUGUGCCUCGUUUAGUUGUCACUUAUUUAUUUCUAGGAAGUUAUUCAAUUCUCAUCGAGCUUUCCUUAUGCUUUCCAUUGCUAAAGAAGAAAUUUAAAUACGCAAUAUUUUUAAUAUCUGAGGAGGCGACAGGGGAUGAAAAAAGGUUGUAAGGUCGUACUUUGGUGCGUCUCUGGCCAACGAUGGCUGGAUCCAUCUGACGCUCUUCCAAGCAGAGCAGUGCAGAUUUGCUGACUGGUACAACAUCUAAGCCUAUGCAUGAUUCAUCAUACACAUUACAGUCAAUUAUCCAUUGGAAUCAUUUGUCCAUAGAGGUGAUCUUGUUUGGACCAUUAGUCUAGGUAGUGACAUUUUGAUCGAUAAGGCACAAAUUUAUUUUCUUUUUCACUCGGGCUACACUAAAGUAAGCAUCAUCGUCAAUGAAAAGAAGGCAUACAAAUCAUGAAAUUUUUGCCUUGGCUGUGUGCCUCGUUUAGUUGUCACUUAUUUAUUUCUAGGAAGUUAUUCAAUUCUCAUCGAGCUUUCCUUAUAAUUUCCAUUGCUAUGCAAUAUUUUUAAUAUCUGAGGAGGCGACAGGAGAUGAAAAAAGGUUGUAAGGUCGUACUUUGGUGCGUCUCUGGCCAACGAUGGUUGGAUCCAUCUGACGCUCUUCCAAGCAGAGCAGUGCAGAUUUGCUGACUGGUACAACAUCUAUGCGCUAUGCAUGAUUCAUCAUACACAUUACAGUCAAGUAUCCAUUGGAAUCUUUUGUCCAUAGAGGUGAUCUUGUUUGGACCAUUAGUCUAGGUAGUGACAUUUUGAUCGAUAAGGCACAAGUUUAUUUUCUUUUUCACUCGGGCUACACUAAAGUAAGCAUCAUCAUCAGUGAAAAGAAGGCAUAAAAAUCAUGAAGUUUUUGCCUUGGUUGUGUGCCUCGUUUAGUUGUCACUUAUUUAUUUCUAGGAAGUUAUUCAAUUCUCAUCGAGCUUUCCUUAUGCUUUCCAUUGCUACAGAAGAAAUUUAAAUACACAAUAUUUUUAAUAUCUGAGGAGGCGAGAGGAGAUGAAAAAGGGUUGUAAGGUCGUACUUUGGUGCGUCUCUGGCCAACGAUGGCUGGAUCCAUCUGACGCUCUUCCAAGCAGAGCAGUACAGAUUUGCUGACUGAGCAGUGGAGAAACAUGUUUCUAUGAAUGUGCCAAAACUGAUGGAUUUAACUACAGGUAUUUGCACUAUCAUUCUACCGGUAUAUUGUCGUAUUGCAUUAUUCAACUGUAAGUCUGUUCUAAACUCUAAGCCCCAUGUUGUAAGUCUGUUCCCUAUAUAAAUCUGAUGGAAGAUCGGGCCAUUUAAUUUGAACAAAAAAGGGUAGUAUGCUCUCAGUUGCUUAAAUCUGUCGAGACCUGAAAAUUAGAUAUACUUUGAAAGCUUGAUGUACGAGUAGGAGAUAGUUGAUAAAGUUGUACCUCUUGUAGGAGAUUAUUAGUUGAUUACCUGCUUCUAUGCGGUGAACAAAUGAGUAAGCAGUUUUAGUUGAUAAAGGUGUAGGCAACACACCUUUUUUGCUUCAUUUUUUGGUUUGUAAGUCCAGGAUGUUUAGACUUUUCUGAAUAUCUUAAUUGUAAAAUAAUUUUGAUGAAUUUUUUGAACCAUUCAGUCUGUUUUGUUCAUGCAGUUCAUGAUACCACAUCUGCAGGCUACAUCUUUUGUAGAUUUGGCUACCACAUUAUAUGAUGAUUUUUCACUUUGCUCAGUCAAAGUUUCAGUAAAAAAUUGAAUUGAACAUCUUUUUGUAGACAUACAAAAAUGGUCUGCAUUUUCUACAUCGCCCUGACAUCCAAUUCAAACUAUAUUUUCUGCCUAAACUAUUGUGUACCUAUGAUAUCAUGGGAUAACUCAGACAUGAGCCAGUGUCCAGUCGCAAUUGGGUGCAUUAUUUGGUGACAUCUAGUGCUAACUGUUUUUUCAAGGCCACCCAGUGGAGUGAGGGUUAGUAAUGUGGCAUCAGCCUAUUCUGGACCUCUGUAUUAUACUCCCUCCAAUCCAAAUUAAGUUUCGUGGUUUUAGUUCAAAAACCACGACACUUAUUUUGAAUGGACCUGUGUAUUAUGCUUCCUCUGAUCCAAAUUAAGUGUCGUGGUUUUAGUUCAAAAACCACCACACUUAUUUUGGAUCGGAGGGAGUAGUAUUUAAGAGAUUCCUUGCAUACGCAUGAUUCAUAAAAGUACAGUGUGGGAUGCCAUUAUAAACUCAUGAAAUCUGAUCCUGAUAGUGACAUGAUUUACUCUGUAAAAGCUGUUUUUAUUGAAUCUGAUGAUGUCACUGCUGCUUGUUGCUGUAAGCAAGGAGAUUGACUACAAGUUUCGAUGUCAACUUGAAUAUUUAUUGUGGAUGUUUGAGCGUCAACCUGAAUUUUGUUUAACCUACUACAAAAAUAAUUUUUAGGAUGAUUGGCUGUACUACCGUCACAAAUAAUCAGGAAAGAUUAUUUUGUAGGAUGAUCAUUGUCUUCCAUAAUAAUAUUAUAGCCGCCGGCCGAACAACGAAGGUUGCACUGCAACUACUUGACUACAAGUUUUAUGUGGAGUUUCGCUGUACAGUAUGCACAAACUCAGUGAGAUAAGGAAUCAUCGUCGCUCACAUUUUUUUUCUCUUGAAAGUGAGGUGUCACCGCUGCAUUUUUUUUCUCGGAAUCAGGGAUGUUUCAAACAUUGUGUGUGAGCCCACCUUCAUAAUGUGGAAACAGACCAUGUCCAUACAUGAUAAAACAAACCAAACUGACAUGUGUAUACUGAACCGUCUUUAGAGACUUCAAUUUCCACAAAAUGGUUUCCGGUAUUUCUCCCUCUAAUGUGCAUUGUUGUGAGUGCAACUGUCUAAAUCUGAAGUAUUCAGUUCUUCUGAAUGCUAUGACGUUCAAUGUCAUAACAAAUUUCAGGAUCGAAGCAAAACAUUUUGCUAUGUCUCGGAAUUCCCUUUUUGAAGACGAUACAAGCUGAGUUUUCAAGGGGAAGAUCUUUUACCUACAAGCCCAUCCUAAUCCCUCUGAGCUGUUAAAUGUGAAUCGCCCUUCGUGCUGUAGAAAAUAGUGCGUCUCUAACUCUUCAACUGUGGAUUAAUGGAGAACUAUUUUAGUG